AGUGAACGCUGGCGGUAGGCCUAACACAUGCAAGUCGAACGGCAGCACAGUAAGAGCUUGCUCUUACGGGUGGCGAGUGGCGGACGGGUGAGGAAUACAUCGGAAUCUACUUUUUCGUGGGUGAUAACGUAGGGAAACUUACGCUAAUACCGCAUACGACCUACGGGUGAAAGCAGGGGAUCUUCGGACCUUGCGCGAUUGAAUUAGCCGAUGUCGGAUUAGCUAGUUGGCGGGGUAAAGGCCCACCAUGGCGACGCUCCGUAGCUGGUCUGAGAGGAUGAUCAGCCACACUGGAACUGAGACACGGUCCAGACUCCUACGGGAGGCAGCAGUGGGGAAUAUUGGACAAUGGGCGCAAGCCUGAUCCAGCCAUACCGCGUGGGUGAAGAAGGCCUUCGGGUUGUAAAGCCCUGUUGUUGGGAAAGAAAAGCAGCAGGUUAAUACCCCGCUGUUCUGACGGUACCCAAAGAAUAAGCACCGGCUAACUUCGUG
rnacentral:rRNA from 1 species